rnacentral:rRNA from 1 species
CUAGACUCCUACGGGAGGCAGCAGUGGGGAAUAUUGGGCAAUGGGCGCAAGCCUGACCCAGCAACGCCGCGUGAAGGAAGAAGGCUUUCGGGUUGUAAACUUCUUUUCUGAGGGACGAAGAAAGUGACGGUACCUCAGGAAUAAGCCACGGCUAACUACGUGCCAGCAGCCGCGGUAAUACGUAGGUGGCAAGCGUUAUCCGGAUUUACUGGGUGUAAAGGGAGCGCAGGCGGCGCGUUAAGCCUGGUGUGAAAGCCCGCGGCCCAACCGCGGGACUGCAUUGGGAACUGGCGCGCUGGAGUGCCGGAGGGGUAGGCGGAAUUCCUAGUGUAGCGGUGAAAUGCGUAGAUAUCAGGAGGAACACCGGUGGCGAAGGCGGCCUGCUGGACGGAUACUGACGCUGAGGCCCGAAAGCGUGGGGAGCGAACAGGAUUAGAUACCCCGGUAA